UAUCGCGUAUACAAUCUGCCUCAUACUAGGGAAUAGCCCGAAGAAAUUUGGAUUAAUGCCCUAUAGUAUCUUUUUAAGGCAUCUUAUUAAGAUUAAAGGUUACGGUAUGAGAUGAGUAUGCGUUCUAUUAGCUAGUAGGUGUGGUAACGGCACACCUAGGCUACGAUAGAUAGGGGCCCUGAGAGGGGGAUCCCCCACACUGGUACUGAGACACGGACCAGACUCCUACGGGAGGCAGCAGUAAGGAAUAUUGGUCAAUGGACGAAAGUCUGAACCAGCCAUGCCGCGUGCAGGAUGACUGCCCUAUGGGUUGUAAACUGCUUUUAUAUAGGAAGAAAAACUUUCUCGUGAGAAAGCUUGACGGUACUAUAAGAAUAAGGAUCGG
rnacentral:rRNA from 1 species